UGUAUUUUGAACCGUGCUAAGGUAGCGCAAUCAAUUGNNNUUUAUUUNNAGACCAGUAUGAAUGGCACCACGAGGGCUUAACUGUCUCCUUUUUCCUGUCAAUGAAAUNGAUCCCCCCGUGCAGAAGCGGGGAUAGAACCAUAAGACGAGAAGACCCUAUGGAGCUUUAGGCUCCCGAGCAGACUAUGUUAAAUAACCUAAAAUACGAGAAGAAACCAUUAUAACCCUGCUCUUAUGCCUUCGGUUGGGGCGACCACGGGGCAAUAGAAAACCCCCGCGCGGACCGGGAGAACAACCCCUCCAUACAACCUAGAGACACAACUCUAAGUUACAAAAUUUCUGACCACUACAUGAUCCGGCACUGACCGAUCAACGAACCCAGUUACCCUAGGGAUAACAGCGCAAUCCCCUUUUAGAA
rnacentral:rRNA from 1 species